UACGUAGGGUGCAAGCGUUGUCCGGAAUUAUUGGGCGUAAAGCGCUCGUAGGCGGUCUGUCGCGUCUGGUGUGAAAACUCAGGGCUUAACCCUGAGCUUGCAUCGGGUACGGGCAGACUAGAGUGCGGUAGGGGGGACUGGAAUUCCUGGUGUAGCGGUGAAAUGCGCAGAUAUCAGGAGGAACACCGGUGGCGAAGGCGGGUCUUUGGGCCGUAACUGACGCUGAGGAGCGAAAGCAUGGGGAGCGAACAGG
rnacentral:rRNA from 1 species